rnacentral:rRNA from 1 species
CUCAGAUUGAACGCUAGCGGGAUGCCUUACACAUGCAAGUCGAACGGCAGCACGGACUUCGGUCUGGUGGCGAGUGGCGAACGGGUGAGUAAUGUAUCGGAACGUGCCUAGUAGCGGGGGAUAACUACGCGAAAGCGUAGCUAAUACCGCAUACGCCCUACGGGGGAAAGCAGGGGAUCGCAAGACCUUGCACUAUUAGAGCGGCCGAUAUCGGAUUAGCUAGUUGGUGGGGUAACGGCUCACCAAGGCGACGAUCCGUAGCUGGUUUGAGAGGACGACCAGCCACACUGGGACUGAGACACGGCCCAGACUCCUACGGGAGGCAGCAGUGGGGAAUUUUGGACAAUGGGGGAAACCCUGAUCCAGCCAUCCCGCGUGUGCGAUGAAGGCCUUCGGGUUGUAAAGCACUUUUGGCAGGAAAGAAACGUCAUGGGUUAAUACCCCGUGAAACUGACGGUACCUGCAGAAUAAGCACCGGCUAACUACGUGCCAGCAGCCGCGGUAAUACGUAGGGUGCAAGCGUUAAUCGGAAUUACUGGGCGUAAAGCGUGCGCAGGCGGUUCGGAAAGAAAGAUGUGAAAUCCCAGAGCUUAACUUUGGAACUGCAUUUUUAACUACCGAGCUAGAGUGUGUCAGAGGGAGGUGGAAUUCCGCGUGUAGCAGUGAAAUGCGUAGAUAUGCGGAGGAACACCGAUGGCGAAGGCAGCCUCCUGGGAUAAC